rfam:Schistosoma curassoni strain Dakar, Senegal genome assembly, scaffold: SCTD_scaffold0000067
ACUCAACUGAUGAGUCCCACAUAGGACGAAACACACGUCCUGAAU